rnacentral:tRNA from 1 species
ACUCAGUUCGUCUAAAGGUAGGGCCGCUGCUUUACACGCAGCAGACGUAGGUUCGAUUCCUGCACUGAGUACCA